ACGAGUGGUGCAAGCGUUAUUCGGAAUCAUUGGGCGAACAGGGCGUGAGGGUGGAAUUUUAAGUCUGUGGUUAAAGCUUCUAGCUUAACUGGGGAAGGGCAAUGGAAACUGGUGUACUAGAGGGUGGAAGAGAGAAGUGGAAUUCUCGGUGUAGCGGUAAAAUGCGUAGAUAUCGAGAGGAACACCGAUGGCGAAGGCAGCUUCUUAGUCCAUACCUGACACUGAGGCGCGAAAGCGUGGGGAGCAAACAG
rnacentral:rRNA from 1 species